rnacentral:rRNA from 1 species
UACGAGGGGGGCGAGCGUUGUCCGGAAUUAUUGGGCGUAAAGGGUGCGUAGGCGGUUCGGUAAGUUUUGUGUGAAAUCUUCGGGCUUAACUCGAAGCCUGCAUAAAAUACUGCCGGGCUUGAGUAUGGGAGAGGUGAGUGGAAUUUCCGGUGUAGCGGUGAAAUGCGUAGAUAUCGGAAGGAACACCUGUGGCGAAAGCGGCUCACUGGACCAUAACUGACGCUGAGGCACGAAAGCUAGGGGAGCAAACAGG